rnacentral:misc_RNA from 1 species
GAUUAAAUCGAGAGCGUCUUCAUUGACCUCUCACCCUUCACAUCCACAUACACCCUGUGAAUCGUUUGGCUUUUUCAUUAAUAGAGCGCAAGCUCGACAAGUGAAAAAGUCAUCAUUUAUACAUACCCCAGUCUUAUGAAUGUAACAGUUUUAAUAAACAUAAUAAAACUUUUAACAACGGAUCUCUUGGUUCU